AGUGAACGCUGGCGGCAGGCCUAACACAUGCAAGUCGAACGGCAGCACAGUGGAGCUUGCUCCAUGGGUGGCGAGUGGCGGACGGGUGAGGAAUACAUCGGAAUCUGCCCAGUCGUGGGGGAUAACAUAGGGAAACUUAUGCUAAUACCGCAUACGACCUACGGGUGAAAGCGGGGGAUCGCAAGACCUCGCGCGAUUGGAUGAGCCGAUGUCCGAUUAGCUAGUUGGCGGGGUAAUGGCCCACCAAGGCGACGAUCGGUAGCUGGUCUGAGAGGAUGUUCAGCCACACUGGAACUGAGACACGGUCCAGACUCCUACGGGAGGCAGCAGUGGGGAAUAUUGGACAAUGGGCGCAAGCCUGAUCCAGCCAUGCCGCGUGGGUGAAGAAGGCCUUCGGGUUGUAAAGCCCUUUUGUCCGGAAAGAAAAGUCCCGGGUUAAUACCCUGGGGUGAUGACGGUACCGGAAGAAUAAGCACCGGCUAACUUCGUGCCUGCCGCCGCAGUAAAAC
rnacentral:rRNA from 1 species